rnacentral:rRNA from 1 species
GACGAACGCUGGCGGCGUGCCUAAAACAUGCAAGUGGAGCGCGAAGGGUGGGACCUGUUACCAAUGGGUGGGGCGGGGAACGGGGGGGUAAGGGGUGGGAAACCUCCUUUUGAGGGGGGGACAACAUUGGAAAAGAAAGCCAAUUACGGCAUAAAACUUUCAACCAAAGGUUUAAGGUUGAAAAAAGCCAUUGCAUCAAUCAAAGAUGCACCCGCGUUUUAUUUGCUAGUUGGGGAGGUAAAGGGCCACCAAGGCGAUGAUACCUAGCCGACCUGAGAGGGUGAUCGGCCACAUUGGGACUGAGACACGGCCCAAACUCCUACGGGAGGCAGCAGUAGGGGAUCUUCGGCAAUGGACGCAAGUCUGACCGAGCAACGCCGCGUGAGUGAAGAAGGUUUUCGGAUCGUAAAACUCUGUUGGUAGAGAAGAACGUUGGUGAGAGUGGAAAGCUCAUCAAGUGACGGUAACUACCCAGAAAGGGACGGCUAACUACGUG